CCUACGGGUGGCAGCAGUGAGGAAUAUUGGUCAAUGGGCGUAAGCCUGAACCAGCCAAGUCGCGUGAGGGAUGAAGGUUCUAUGGAUCGUAAACCUCUUUUAUAAGGGAGUAAAGUGUGGGACGUGUCCUAUUUUGUAUGUACCUUAUGAAUAAGGAUCGGCUAACUCCGUGCCAGCAGCCGGGGUAAUUCGGAGGAUCCGAGCGUUAUCCGGAUUUAUUGGGUUUAUAGGGUGCAUAGGCGGGCUUUUAAGUGAGCGGGGAAAGUCCGUGGGUAAACCAAAGGAUUGCCGUUGAAAAUGGGGGGGCUUGAGUAUGUUUGAGGCAGGCGGAAUGCGUGGUGUAGCGGUGAAAUGCUUAGAUAUCACGAAGAACCCCGAGUGCGAAGGCAGCCUGCCAAGCCAUGACUGACGCUGAUGCACGAAAGCGUGGGGAUCAAACAGGAUUAGAUACCCCUGUAGUC
rnacentral:rRNA from 1 species